rnacentral:misc_RNA from 1 species
AACGCAUAUUGCGCCUCUCCUUAGAGAGGCAUGUCUGUCUGAGCGUCAUUUAAAUCAAAUGAGACUAUUGGUCUCGUAUUGGGCAUCGCCCCUGGGCAUAGCCUCGAUGCCAUCGCUCUAAUGACCAGGCGAGUUCCUCUGGGACGGACCACUCGUGGCCUGACGACUUCUGACUUGAUCUCAGAUCAGGUAGGACCACCGCCUGAACUUAA